GACGAAGGGGGCUAGCGUUGUUCGGAAUUACUGGGCGUAAAGCGCGCGUAGGCGGCUCUUCAAGUCAGGCGUGAAAGCCCCCGGGCUUAACCCGGGAAUAGCGCUUGAUACUGUUGGGCUUGAGUCCGGGAGAGGAUAGUGGAAUUCCCAGUGUAGAGGUGAAAUUCGUAGAUAUUGGGAAGAACACCAGUGGCGAAGGCGGCUAUCUGGACCGGAACUGACGCUGAGGCGCGAAAGCGUGGGGAGCAAACAGG
rnacentral:rRNA from 1 species